AUGUAUAUAAAGAAGGUUAUAAUCGAAGGGUUUAAAAGCUACAGGGAGGAGACCUCGACAGAACCUUUCAGCCCCAAAGUUAACGUAGUCGUUGGUGCAAAUGGAUCUGGCAAAUCAAAUUUUUUCCAUGCUAUACGCUUUGUCCUGAGUGACAUGUUUCAGAACCUGCGCAGUGAGGACAGGGGAGCUCUUCUCCAUGAAGGUGCUGGACACUCAGUCGUAUCUGCUUUUGUCGAGAUAAUUUUUGAUAAUUCAGACAACCGUAUUCCAGUUGAUAAAGAAGAGGUACGCUUGCGAAGGACAGUUGCUUCAAAGAAGGAUGAAUACUACUUGGAUGGAAAACAUGUCAGUAAAACUGAAGUCAUGAAUCUGCUGGAGAGCGCUGGUUUCUCUCGAUCUAAUCCAUACUAUGUUGUACAGCAAGGAAAGAUUGCAUCCCUUACUCUAAUGAAAGAUUCUGAACGACUGGAUCUUCUCAAAGAGAUUGGUGGUACGCGUGUUUAUGAAGAUAGACGUCGGGAGAGCUUGAAAAUAAUGCAAGAAACAGCCAAUAAAAGGAAGCAGAUUGAUCAAGUUGUCCGCUACCUGGAGGAGAGACUGAGAGAACUUGAUGAAGAGAAGGAGGAACUAAAGAAGUACCAGCAGCUGGACAAACAGAGAAGAUCACUUGAAUAUACUAUACUGGACCAUGAACUAAAUGAUGCUAGAAAUGAAUUAGCUUCGAUGGAUGAUAAUCGAAGACAAAUUUCUGAAAGGAUGUCUCAAGCGGACAAUGAAGUGGUAGAGUUACGUGAGAGGGUCAAAAGUUUGGAGAAAGAAAUAAAAGCCUCUACUAAAGGGAUAAAUGAAACCAAGUCUGAAAAGGACGAUGCAGAGAAGAAGCGUACUGAAGCACUAAAGGUAGUUUCUCAGAUUGAACUUGAUCUGAGAGAUUUAAAAGACAGAAUUUCAAGUGGAAAACGAGCAAAGGAUGAAGCCGUAAGGGAGUUAAAUAGUAUGAGGAAAGAAAGUGAAAAGUCAAAGUCUGAAUUGGCUCAAAUUAGUAAGGUGCAUGCGGCCAAAUUGAAGGAAGAGGAAGAUAUAUCAAAAAGUAUAAUGGACCGCGAGAAGCGGCUGAGUAUAUUGUACCAAAAGCAGGGGAGGGCAACUCAAUUUAAGAAUGAGGCUGCCAGAGAUGAGUGGCUUCGGAAAGAAAUUCAUGAUCUUGAGCGUGUACUUUUAUCAAAUAGAAAGCAGGAAAGCUUACUUCAAGAUGAAAGUCAGAAGCUUAAAGACGAAAUUAAUAAGUUGACAAACCACAUUGAAUCUCGGAGAAGUGAAUCAAGCAAGUUAGAGGCUGUUCUUGCAGACAAGCAAAAGAAUCACAAUGACUUCACGAAGCAGAAAAAUGCACUUCAAGAUGAAAGGAAAUCAUUUUGGAAGGAGGAAACUAGUGUGACAGCUGAAAUCGAUAGGCUAAAGGAAGAUCUUGUGAAGGCACAGAAGAGUUUGGACCAUGCAACACCUGGGGAUAUCAGGAGAGGCCUGAAUUCUGUUAGCCGAAUCAUCAGGGACCAUGGUAUUGGAGGAGUUUUUGGUCCAGUGUUAGAACUGGUUGACUGCGAAGAGAAGUUUUUUACAGCUGUUGAGGUCACUGCUGGGAAUAGCUUGUUCCAUGUGGUGGUUGAAAAUGACGAUAUAUCGACAAGGAUAAUUCAGGUAUUGACUCGAGAAAAAGGUGGACGGGUGACUUUCAUACCACUGAAUAGAGUGCACGCUCCGAAUGUCAAUGUUCCACAGAGCUCUGAUUUUGUUCCAUUGUUAAAGAAGUUAAAGUUUCGUGCUGAGCAUCGUCGCGCUUUUGAACAGCUUCCAAUUGGAUGCCAUGUUGGAGACAUUAAAAAUAUAAAUAAGGUUUUUGGUAGGACAGUUAUAUGCCGAGACCUGGAAACUGCGACCAGAGUUGCACGCAGCAAUAGUCUAGAUUGCAUCACACUUGAUGGUGAUCAAGUAGCCAAAAAGGGUGGCAUGACAGGAGGUUUCUAUGAUUCUAGACGCUCAAGACUGAAGUUUGUAAAAGUAAUCAGGGACAACAAAGCAGAAAUUGAAAAAAAGACGGCACAUCUAGAGAACGUGGGAAAAAAGUUAAAAGAUAUAGAUAAGAAAAUUACGGAUUUGAUUACCAAACAUCAGCAAAUGGACGCUGAACGUGAUCAUGCCAAGUCAGAGUUGGAACAGUUUAAAGUUGAUAUUGCCAGUGCAACGAAGCAAAAGGGAUCACUGGAGAAAGCCCUUGCAAAGAAGGAAAAAUCACUCGCGAACAUCCGCAACCAAAUUGAGCAAAUCCAAUCUGGCAUUGCAAUGAAAAAUGAUGAGAUGGGCACAGAACUGAUUGACCAGCUAACUUUAGAAGAAAGAGAUCUCCUUUCGCGACUGAAUCCUGAAAUUACUAGAUUGAAGGAGAAGUUCCUCUCGUGUAAAAACAGUCGCAUUGAGAUUGAAACAAGAAAGGAAGAACUGGAGAACAAUUUGUCAACUAAUCUUAUGAGGCGUCAGAAAGAGUUGGAAGCAAUAAUUUCAUCUGCAGAUUCUAAAAUCUUGCCUGUUGAAGUCGAAGCAAAAGAGCAAGAAUUGAAAGAGUCUAAGAGGACUCUUGAUGAGGCGACAACAGUACUGAAAGCUAAUGUCGAUGCUAUUAAUGCCCAUACAAGACAGAUGGAGCAACUGAAAAAACAAAGGGAUGAUCUGAAGGCUCUUGAAGCUAAUUUGGAGCAGACGGUGCAAGAUGGUGCGAAAGAUUUGGAACAGUUGAUGAGCAGUAGGAGCACGUAUCUUGUCAAGCAAGAUGAGUGUAUGAAGAAAAUCCGAGAUCUGGGCUCAUUGCCUGCCGAUGCUUUCGAAACGUACAAGAGAAAAAACAAGAAGCAGCUACAGAAGCUGCUCUAUGACUGCAAUGAGCAGUUGAAGCAAUUUAGUCAUGUCAACCAAAAGGCUCUUGACCAGUAUGUGAACUUCACUGAACAGCGUGAACAACUGCAGAGAAGACGGGCUGAACUUGAUGCUGGUGACGAGAAAAUUAGAGAGUUGAUAUCAGUUUUAGACCAAAGGAAGGAUGAAUCAAUUGAACGCACAUUUAAAGGAGUUGCAAGGCACUUCCGCGAAGUGUUCUCUGAAUUAGUGCAAGGUGGUCACGGAUACCUGGUUAUGAUGAAGAAAAAGGAUGGUGAUGCUGCCGAUGAUGACAUGGAUGAGGACGCGCCUCGUGAAGCAGAUCCUGAAGGGAGGAUAGAGAAGUAUAUUGGUGUGAAAGUCAAGGUUUCCUUCACUGGCAAGGGAGAAACUCAGUCCAUGAAGCAGUUGUCUGGAGGGCAGAAGACAGUGGUGGCAUUAACACUGAUCUUCGCUAUCCAACGAUGUGACCCAGCUCCGUUCUACCUGUUUGAUGAGAUUGAUGCUGCUCUGGAUCCUCAGUACAGAACGGCUGUCGGGAGCGUGGUUCGGCGUCUGGCCGACCUGGCGGACACCCAGUUCAUAGCCACCACAUUCAGGCCGGAGAUCCUGAAGGUCGCGGACAAGAUCUACGGCGUGACACACAAGAACAGGGUGAGCUUCAUCAACGUGGUGUCCAAGGAGCAGGCCAUGGACUUCAUUGAGCACGACCAGACGGCCAACGCCAGCUGA
rnacentral:rRNA from 1 species